GCGUGGACGAUUGUAUACAUGUAUGCCAUUUGGAGGAUGGUCUUAUACUUAUCCCGGCAAGAACAUAAAACCUAAUGCCACCUUGGCCAGGGUCCAUUGAGCAACUGUUGGAGGUAGUACACGUGGCCCAUGCCUCAGACCAAUUUGACAUUGGAUGUCUUUUCGUCACAUGUUGAUGACAGCAAAGGGUAACUACCAUU
rnacentral:lncRNA from 1 species